rnacentral:rRNA from 1 species
UGCAGAAUCCCGUGAACCAUCGAGUUUUUGAACGCAAGUUGCGCCUGAGGCCAGCUGGCCAAGGGCACGUCCGCCUGGGCGUCAAGCAUUGAAUCGCUCCACAAUACCAAUGAUGUUAUGCAUUGGUCUUGUCCAGGAUGCGGAGAAUGGCCCGUCAUGCGCUUAUGUGUGGCAGGCUGAAGAGCGGGGAUGAUUUUCUUUUGCAACGAUCGAUUAAUAGGUGGGAUGAAAUUCUUUUUGUUCCUAAUCAUCGUCAGGUUGCUUUAAGAAAGUUGUGCAUAUCUCAUUUUAACCCAACUCAAUCGUUAUUGGAUGAAAAUUGACAUGCGACCCCAGGAUGGGCGGGGUGACCCGCUGAGUUUAAGCAUAUCAAUAAGCGGAGGAGAAGAAACUUACGAGGAUUCCCCUAGUAACGGCGAGCGAACCGGGAAUUGCCCAGCAUGGGAAUCGGGUUGCUAUGCGACUCGA